GACGAACGCUGGCGGCGUGCCUAAUACAUGCAAGUUGAGCGAUGAAGAGUGGUGCUUGCACCAAUUUGAAGAGCAGCGCACGGGUGAGUAACGCGUGGGGAAUCUGCCUUUGAGCGGGGGACAACAUUUGGAAACGAAUGCUAAUACCGCAUAACAACUUUAAACAUAAGUUUUAAGUUUGAAAGAUGCAAUUGCAUCACUCAAAGAUGAUCCCGCGUUGUAUUAGCUAGUUGGUGAGGUAAAGGCUCACCAAGGCGAUGAUACAUAGCCGACCUGAGAGGGUGAUCGGCCACAUUGGGACUGAGACACGGCCCAAACCCCUACGGGAGGCAGCAGUAGGGAAUCUUCGGCAAUGGACGAAAGUCUGACCGAGCAACGCCGCGUGAGUGAAGAAGGGUUUCGGAUCGUAAAACUCUGUUGGUAGAGAAGAACGUUGGUGAGAGUGGAAAGCUCAGCAAGUGACGGUAACUACCCAGAAAGGGACGGCUAACUACGUG
rnacentral:rRNA from 1 species